GUGCUCACUUUGGCAGCAUGUAUAAUAAAAUUGGAACGAUACAGAGAUUAGCAUGGCGCCUUCGCAAGGAUGACACGCAAAUUCGUGAAGUGUUCCAUAUUUUU
ensembl:snRNA U6 U6 spliceosomal RNA